rnacentral:rRNA from 1 species
AGAGUUUGAUCCUGGCUCAGAUUGAACGCUGGCGGCAUGCUUUACACAUGCAAGUCGAACGGCAGCACGGGGGCAACCCUGGUGGCGAGUGGCGAACGGGUGAGUAAUAUAUCGGAACAUGUCCGGAAGUGGGGGAUAACGUACCGAAAGGUACGCUAAUACCGCAUAUGCCCUGAGGGGGAAAGCGGGGGAUCGUAAGACCUCGCGCUUUCGGAGUGGCCGAUAUCAGAUUAGCUAGUUGGUGAGGUAAAGGCUCACCAAGGCGACGAUCUGUAGCUGGUCUGAGAGGACGACCAGCCACACUGGAACUGAGACACGGUCCAGACUCCUACGGGAGGCAGCAGUGGGGAAUUUUGGACAAUGGGCGCAAGC